GACGAACCGUGCGAACGUUGUUCGGAAUCACUGGGCUUAAAGGGCGCGUAGGCGGGCUGUCAAGUCUGGGGUGAAAUGCCGCGGCUCAACCGUGGAACUGCCUUAGAUACUGACGGCCUCGAGGAAGGUAGGGGCAUGCGGAACUGUAGGUGGAGCGGUGAAAUGCGUUGAUAUCUACAGGAACUCCGGUGGCGAAAGCGGCGUGCUGGACCUUUUCUGACGCUGAGGCGCGAAAGCGUGGGGAGCGAACAGG
rnacentral:rRNA from 1 species